CAGAAUCUUAUGAAUUUCUUUGUGUAACCAGCUGAUGGUUACCAUUCAUUUCCAUAGUAUGGACAAAAAUACUAUGAAAGUCAAUGGCUACCGUCAACUCUGUGGUUACCCACAUUCUUCAAAAUAUCCUCUUUUGUGUUCAACAGAAGAAAGAAACUCAUACAGGUUUGGAACAACUUGAAGGUGAAUAAAUGUAAUUUUUGGGUGAACUGUCCCUUUAAUGCUUUCUCAUGUGGCUGCAGUGAUCGAUGUGUUCCUGUGUUUCAGCGCCCUCUGUCGGCCCAAAUAUGACAGUGCUGAAGACGAGCAGCAGUGGUGUUGUUCUGAAAUGGGAUCCUGUUCCUUUAGAGAAACUCCACGGCUUCAUCCAGAACUAUACCAUACUGUACGGCAUAAAUGGCAAAGACAAAAGUAAGACGCAAAUGUUUCUUUGCGAAAUGUUGAAAAGCAGUGUGGGGCAAGUAAAUGAUGAAAGAACUCUCACGUUUGAGUUUGACGCCUCGUGUUUGUGAAGGUGUGAAGGUAGACGCUCAUGUUGAACAGAUAUCUCUCAGUGGACUGACGGAAGGAAUCUAUAACAUCUGUGUAAUGGCUCAUACUGCAGUAGGGGGCGCCGCUGGGCCCUGUCAGAUGGUGCUUGUGGGGCUUGAGGAUGUACAAGUGAUUCCCAUACUGCUGUGUGCACUUCUGCUGUGUUUUCUGAUUCUAAUCAUCCCAGUAUGCAUGAGGGCGAGGAUUAAACUGUGUCUGUGUCCAACUGUACCAGACCCUUCAAAAAGCAGCCUGUCGGUCUGGUGUAACGCUAAACCGUGUCAGGUGUUCACCUACCACACUGUUCCACAAGACAGCAAUGAGACCGAAACCAAGACCUACAACAGCACUUCUGCUGUAACCCACCAGGACUCCAAACUCACACCAGCUCAAGCUUUCCCCACACAUUUCCUCAACCAGAGCUACACCGAACCAGCCCAAGUCACUCCUGCUGGAUAUAAAGAAGACCCACAGCCCUCAUCUGACGAUCUCUUGUUUGAAUCGCUCUUCACCUACAACAGUAAUCAAGCAGAUCUAUGCGGCUACAUCCACGUGUCUGAGAGCUACGCGCCGGUGAUUACGACCGUAGACUCGUACAGGACUCUCGACCUGAAUGAGUGUCCGCAUUUCCUACAGGUUUUACCAGAGGACACCAGCACGUAGUUCACUGCAGUGUAAACAAUGAGUCUUACGUGACUGGGGUUUCACAAUCCCACUCUCUCCAGCCCGCCAAAACAUGAACCCUCGUAUCAACCACCAUCUCUGUGUGCUUUCUGUUUGGCAGAUAUACACAGGCUUGUGCAGUAACGGGAUAGUUGGAACGGCAUAAGGCUGGUGCAUAAAGCUGGGUGCAAUUAAAAUCAGAAACUUGUCUACUCUGUAAACUGUGUCCAGUGUAGACCGCCGCAGUCGAUCAUAAUAGUUGCACUGGAUUUACAAUAGUUUCAUGGGCUGGUUCAAGAGAUUGUAUCCGAUUGCUGUUUUGCCCGACACUUGAAAAUGAAUUGUGAAUUUUUUCCAAGCAGCCUUUUUAUCUGAGCACCUCCUGUCAGAUCUCGUCGAGGUCAAGGACACCACAUGAGGACCGCUAGUCAUUUCCACAUGUGACACCUCUCUCACAAAACUUCUCUGGUCUAGAGUCAAAUGUGCAUAAACCACUGAUGCCAGUUGAGUGGAAAAUAUGUGCUGGGUCGGAAAAUUUGCUUUUGUUGCAUGGAAACUUGGCCUAUAUUUGCUAUUUCUGAGAUCAAACAGUGCCAUUUUUCUUGUGACAUUGUUUUCCAAUUUUUUAUUAGCAAAUGGUGCUUGAAAAAUACAAGUAUCCAUAUUCAUAUUGUGAUAUUUGGUUUAAUAUUACUUUUUUAAUACAUAAUUAGUCAUCUUCAACCCUCCCAUUUCUGUUGACACAAAGGACAAACAGACCUGGACAGGACAACACGUUCCCCUGGUUACAUCAUGGACACAGCUUGGAAUUAUAUGGACCUGUUUAACUGAAAAACUGGAUUUUUUUUUGUUUUUCGUUAGUGAGUAUUUCUGAUGUAGCACUGCUGUUUGCAUUAUACCUGCCGUCUCCUGCUUCCUGCUCUGUACCGGUUUCCUCUGUUGGCCUUUUUGGAUAUCAGACAAAAUAUAGUGUUAACUGGUUUUGGACAUCAGACAGAACUCAAUCCUAACUGGUUUUAAAUAUCAGACAGAACUCAAUGAUAACUGGUUUUGGAUAUCAGACAGAUCUAAAUGUUACCAGUUUUGGAUAUCAGACAGAACUCAAUCCUAACUGAUUUUAGGUAUCAGACAGAACUCAAUCCUAACUGGGUUUAGGUAUCAGACAGAACUCAAUCCUAACUGGGUUUAGGUAUCAGACAGAACU
ensembl:lncRNA